rnacentral:rRNA from 1 species
AUUGAACGCUGGCGGCAUGCUUUACACAUGCAAGUCGGACGGCAGCGGGGGUGCUUGCACCUGCCGGCGAGUGGCGAACGGGUGAGUAAUAUAUUGGAACGUACCGAGUAGUGGGGGAUAACUAAUCGAAAGUUUAGCUAAUACCGCAUACGACCUGAGGGUGAAAGCGGGGGACGGGAGACUGCCUCGCGCUAUUUGAGCGGCCAAUAACUGAUUAGCUAGUUGGUGGGGUAAAGGCCUACCAAGGCGAUGAUCAGUAGCGGGUCUGAGAGGAUGAUCCGCCACACUGGGACUGAGAGACGGCCCAGACUCCUACGGGAGGCAGCAGUGGGGAAUUUUGGACAAUGGGGGCAACCCUGAUCCAGCCAUGCCGCGUGUCUGAAGAAGGCCUUCGGGUUGUAAAGGACUUUUGUUAGGGAAGAAAAGGGAAGUGCUAAUAUCACUUUUUGCUGACGGUACCUAAAGAAUAAGCACCGGCUAACUACGUGCCAGCAGCCGCGGUAAUACGUAGGGUGCGAGCGUUAAUCGGAAUUACUGGGCGUAAAGCGAGCGCAGACGGUUAUUUAAGUCAGAUGUGAAAUCCCCGAGCUUAACUUGGGAACUGCGUUUGAAACUGGGUAACUAGAGUAUGUCAGAGGGGGGUAGAAUUCCACGUGUAGCAGUGAAAUGCGUAGAGAUGUGGAGGAAUACCGAUGGCGAAGGCAGCCCCCUGGGAUAAUACUGACGUUCAUGCUCGAAAGCGUGGGUAGCAAACAGG